rnacentral:rRNA from 1 species
AGCAGCCGCGGUAAUUCCAGCUCCAAUAGCGUAUAUUAAAGUUGUUGCAGUUAAAAAGCUCGUAGUUGAAUUUCGGGGUCAGUAGAUUGGUCGUGCCACCGGUACGUACUGGUCUCACUGAUUCCUCCUUCCUGAAGAACCGUAAUGCCAUUAAUUUGGUGUUGCGGGGAGACUGGACUGUUACUUUGAAAAAAUUAGAGUGUUUAAAGCAGGCUAACGCUUGAAUACAUUAGCAUGGAAUAAUGAAAUAGGACGUUCGAUCUUAUUUUGUUGGUUUCUAAGAUUGACGUAAUGAUUAAUAGGGAUAGUUGGGGGCAUUAGUAUUCAAUUGUCAGAGGUGAAAUUCUUGGAUUUAU